UGGGGAAUAUUGGACAAUGGGCGCAAGCCUGAUCCAGCAAUGCCGCGUGUGUGAAGAAGGCCUUCGGGUUGUAAAGCACUUUUAUCUGGAGCGAAAUCUGCAGGGCUAAUACCCAUGCAGUCUGACGGUACCAGAGGAAUAAGCACCGGCUAACUUCGCGCCAGCAGCCGCGGCAAUACGACGGGUGCAAGCGUUACUCGGAAUUACUGGGCGUAAAGCGUGAGUAGGCGGUUUCUUAAGUCUGCUGUGAAAGCCCCGGGCUCAACCUGGGAAUUGCAGUGGGUACUGGGGGGCUUGAGUGCGGUAGAGGGUAGUGGAAUUGCCGGUGUAGCGGUGAAAUGCGUAGAGAUCGGGAGGAACACCAGUGGCGAAGGCGGCUAACUGGAGCAGCACUGACUCUGAGUCACUAAAGCGUGGGGAGCAAACA
rnacentral:rRNA from 1 species